GCCGGCGGCGGCACCCAUGUGAAUCUCUCCGGCGUGCUGCUGGCGAAGCACGCGCCGAACCGCGCCAACGCCGUCAAACUGAUCGAAUGGCUGGCCGGCGAACACGCGCAGCAUCUCUAUGCCGACGCCAACUAUGAGUANNNGGUCCGCGCCGGUGUCGCCGUCAACCCGACCAUUGCCGGUUACGGCAAGUUGAAUCCCGACGCGCUGCCGAUCUC
rnacentral:misc_RNA from 1 species